CCUACGGGGGGCUGCAGUGGGGAAUAUUGGACAAUGGGGGGAACCCUGAUCCAGCCAUGCCGCGUGUGUGAAGAAGGCCCUCGGGUUGUAAAGCACUUUCAGUGAGGAAGAACGCCUGGUGGUUAAUACCCAUCAGGAAAGACAUCACUCACAGAAGAAGCACCGGCUAACUCCGUGCCAGCAGCCGCGGUAAUACGGAGGGUGCGAGCGUUAAUCGGAAUUACUGGGCGUAAAGCGCGCGUAGGUGGCUUGAUAAGCCGGUUGUGAAAGCCCCGGGCUCAACCUGGGAACGGCAUCCGGAACUGUCAAGCUAGAGUGCAGGAGAGGAAGGUAGAAUUACCGGUGUAGCGGUGAAAUGCGUAGAGAUCGGGAGGAAUACCAGUGGCGAAGGCGGCCUUCUGGACUGACACUGACACUGAGGUGCGAAAGCGUGGGUAGCAAACAGGAUUAGAUACCCUAGUAGUC
rnacentral:rRNA from 1 species